GUGUCUUGCUUCAGCGGUACAUGCACUUAAAUUGAAAUGAAACAGGGAAGAUUAACCUGGCUCUUGUGCAAGUACGACAUGCAAAUUCUUAGUUCCAUAUUUUU
ensembl:snRNA U6 U6 spliceosomal RNA